rnacentral:rRNA from 1 species
UGGGGAAUAUUGCACAAUGGGCGAAAGCCUGAUGCAGCAACGCCGCGUGAGUGAUGAAGGCCUUCGGGUUGUAAAGCUCUGUCUUUUGGGACGAUAAUGACGGUACCAAAGGAGGAAGCCACGGCUAACUACGUGCCAGCAGCCGCGGUAAUACGUAGGUGGCAAGCGUUGUCCGGAUUUACUGGGCGUAAAGGAUGCGUAGGCGGAUUUUUAAGUGAGAUGUGAAAACCCUAAGCUUAACUUGGGGACUGCAUUUCAUACUGGAAAUCUAGAGUGCGGGAGAGGAGAAGUGGAAUUCCUAGUGUAGCGGUGAAAUGCGUAGAGAUUAGGAAGAACACCAGUGGCGAAGGCGAUUCUCUGGACCGUAACUGACGCUGAGGCAUGAAAGCGUGGGUAGCAAACAGGAUUAGAUACCCUGGUAGUCCACGCCGUAAACGAUGAGUACUAGGUGUAGGAGGUAUCGACCCCUUCUGUGCCGCAGUUAACACAAUAAGUACUCCGCCUGGGAAGUACGAUCGCAAGAUUAAAACUCAAAUGAAUUGAC